ACGCUCGACACCUACGGGAGGCAGCAGUGAGGAAUAUUGCACAAUGGGGGAAACCCUGAUGCAGCGACGCCGCGUGAAGGAGAAGUAUUUCGGUAUGUAAACUUCUAUCAGCAGGGAAGAAAAUGACGGUACCUGACUAAGAAGCCCCGGCUAACUACGUGCCAGUAGCCGCGGUAAUCUGAGCGGGCUGGCAAGGC
rnacentral:rRNA from 1 species